rnacentral:rRNA from 1 species
UACAGAGGGGGCAAGCGUUGUUCGGAAUUACUGGGCGUAAAGGGCGCGUAGGCGGCCUGCUAAGUCGAACGUGAAAUCCCUGGGCUCAACCCAGGAACUGCGUCCGAUACUGGUUGGCUUGAAUCCGGGAGAGGGAUGUGGAAUUCCAGGUGUAGCGGUGAAAUGCGUAGAUAUCUGGAGGAACGCCGGUGGCGAAGGCGACAUCCUGGACCGGUAUUGACGCUGGGGCGCGAAAGCGUGGGUAGCAAACAGG